rnacentral:rRNA from 1 species
AUGUACAUUCCUAUAAAAUUAAUGCACUAUAUCCCAUUAGAACUUCACAGUUAAUCAUGCUUGGGAUAGAUUAGUAUUGGGAUGGGUGACCUCUCGAGAAGUCCUAGUGUUUUCCAUC